UGCAGUCGAGCGGUAGAGAGAAGCUUGCUUCUCUUGAGAGCGGCGGACGGGUGAGUAAUGCCUAGGAAUCUGCCUGGUAGUGGGGGAUAACGUUCGGAAACGGACGCUAAUACCGCAUACGUCCUACGGGAGAAAGCAGGGGACCUUCGGGCCUUGCGCUAUCAGAUGAGCCUAGGUCGGAUUAGCUAGUUGGUGAGGUAAUGGCUCACCAAGGCGACGAUCCGUAACUGGUCUGAGAGGAUGAUCAGUCACACUGGAACUGAGACACGGUCCAGACUCCUACGGGAGGCAGCAGUGGGGAAUAUUGGACAAUGGGCGAAAGCCUGAUCCAGCCAUGCCGCGUGUGUGAAGAAGGUCUUCGGAUUGUAAAGCACUUUAAGUUGGGAGGAAGGGUUGUAGAUUAAUACUCUGCAAUUUUGACGUUACCGACAGAAUAAGCACCGGCUAACUCUGUGCCAGCAGCCGCGGUAAUACAGAGGGUGCAAGCGUUAAUCGGAAUUACUGGGCGUAAAGCGCGCGUAGGUGGUUUGUUAAGUUGGAUGUGAAAUCCCCGGGCUCAACCUGGGAACUGCAUUCAAAACUGACUGACUAGAGUAUGGUAGAGGGUGGGUGGAAUUUCCUGUGUAG
rnacentral:rRNA from 1 species